ensembl:misc_RNA Metazoa_SRP Metazoan signal recognition particle RNA
GCCGGGCAUGGUGGUGGGUGCCUGUAAUCCCAGCUUCUCGGGAGGCUUAGGCAGGAGAAUCACUUGAACCCAGGAGACAGAGGUUGUAGUGAGCCGAGAUCACGCCAUUGCACUCCAGCCUGGGUGACAGAGUGAGACUCUGUCUAAA